GGUAGCUGAGUUGGUAAAGCUCAUAUACAUAGCUGUUUAACCUAAGAUCGCUGGUUCGAUUCCAUCCUGAAGCA